rnacentral:rRNA from 1 species
UACCAGCCCCCCGAGUGGUCGGGACGUUUAUUGGGCCUAAAGCCUCCGUAGCCGGUUCUACAAGUCUUCCGUUAAAUCCAGCUGCUUAACAGAUGGGCUGCGGAAGAUACUAUAGAGCUAGGAGGCGGGAGAGGCAAGCGGUACUCGAUGGGUAGGGGUAAAAUCCGUUGAUCCAUUGAAGACCACCAGUGGCGAAGGCGGCUUGCCAGAACGCGCUCGACGGUGAGGGAUGAAAGCUGGGGGAGCAAACCGG